GACGAACGCUGGCGGCGUGCUUAACACAUGCAAGUCGAACGGAGUGGCGAACGGGUGAGUAACACGUGGGUGACCUGCCCUCCACUUCCGUUUACGCCUGGGAAACUGCGUCUAAUACCGGAUAGUGUGGUAUGGGCCCGGGGCCUAUCAGCUUGUUGGUGGGGUAAUGGCCUACCAAGGCGGCGCCGGGUAGCCGGCCUGAGAGGGUGGACGGCCACAUUGGGACUGAGAUACGGCCCAGACUCCUACGGGAGGCAGGAGUGGGGAAUAUUGCACAAUGGGCGGAAGCCUGAUGCAGCGGCGCCGCGUGGGGGAUGACGGCCUUCGGGUUGUAAGCGCCUUUCACCAUCGACGCGGUAGAUGGAGAAGAAGUACCGGCUAAAUCCGUGCCAGCAGCCGCGGUAAUAC
rnacentral:rRNA from 1 species